rnacentral:rRNA from 1 species
GGAAUAUUCCACAAUGGGCGAAAGCCUGAUGGAGCGACGCCGCGUGAGUGAAGAAGGGCUUCGGCUCGUAAAGCUCUUUUCUCAUUGACGAAUUAGUCUUCGGGACAGUUGACGGUAGAUGGGGAAUAAGCCACGGCUAACUACGUGCCAGCAGCCGCGGUAAUACGUAGGUGGCAAGCGUUGUCCGGAAUUAUUGGGCGUAAAGGGAGCGCAGGCGGGACGGUAAGUCCAAAUUAAAAGUGCAGUAGUAAUGACUGUGAUGGUUUGGAAACUAUCGUUCUUGAGAGCAGGAGAGGCAAGCGGAAUUCCCAGUGUAGCGGUGAAAUGCGUAGAUAUUGGGAGGAACACCAGUGGCGAAGGCGGCUUGCUGGACUGAGUCUGACGCUGAGGCUCGAAAGCCAGGGUAGCGAACG